rnacentral:rRNA from 1 species
GCCAUGCUAGUUGUACGAGUUUAGACUCGUAGCAGAUAGCUCAGUAACACGUGGCCAAACUACCCUAUGGAUCCGGACAACCUCGGGAAACUGAGGCUAAUCCGGAAUACGACUCUCAGCCUGGAAGUGGCGAGAGUCAGAAACGCUCCGGCGCCAUAGGAUGUGGCUGCGGCCGAUUAGGUAGACGGUGGGGUAACGGCCCACCGUGCCCAUAAUCGGUACGGGUUGUGAGAGCAAGAGCCCGGAGACGGUAUCUGAGACAAGAUACCGGGCCCUACGGGGCGCAGCAGGCGCGAAACCUUUACACUGCACGAAAGUGCGAUAAGGGGACUCCAAGUGCGAGGGCAUAUAGUCCUCGCUUUUCACUACCGUAAGGUGGUAGUAGAAUAAGUGCUGGGCAAGACCGGUGCCAGCCGCCGCGGUAAUACCGGCAGCACGAGUGAUGACCGCUCUUAUUGGGCCUAAAGCGUCCGUAGCUGGCCACGCAAGUCUAUCGGGAAAUCCGCGCGCUCAACGCGCGGGCGUCCGGUGGAAACUGCGUGGCUUGGGACCGGAAGAUCCAGAGGGUACGUCUGGGGUAGGAGUGAAAUCCCGUAAUCCUGGACGGACCACCGGUGGCGAAAGCGCUCUGGAAAGACGGAUCCGACGGUGAGGGACGAAAGCUCGGGUCACGAACCGGAUUAGAUACCCGGGUAGUCCGAGCUGUAAACAAUGUCUGCUAGGUGUGCCACAGGCUACGAGCCUGUGGUGUGCCGUAGGGAAGCCGUGAAGCAGACCGCCUGGGAAGUACGUCCGCAAGGAUGAAACUUAA